GCGCCCGUAGCUCAGUUGGAUAGAGCAACGGCCUUCUAAGCCGUGGGUCGCAGGUUCGAAUCCUGCCGGGCGUG
rnacentral:tRNA from 1 species